rnacentral:rRNA from 1 species
CCAGUUUUAGUGGAGCCAAUCUUGAAAUACCACCCUGGUAUGUUUGAGGUUCUAACUCAGGUCCGUAAUCCGGAUCGAGGACACUGUGUGGUGGGUAGUUUGACUGGGGUGGUCGCCUCCAAAAGAGUAACGGAGGCUUCUAAAGGUGUCCUCAGCACGCUUGGUAACCGUGCGUAGAGUGCAAUAGCAUAAGGACGCUUGACUGUGAGACCGACAAGUCGAGCAGGGACGAAAGUCGAGUAUAG